ACGGAAGGCAGCAGUGGGGAAUAUUGCACAAUGGGCGCAAGCCUGAUGCAGCGAUGCCGCGUGAGGGAAGAAGGUUUUCGGAUUGUAAACCUCUGUCAAUAGGGGCGAAACAGACGGUACCUAUGAAGGGAGCUCCGGCUAACUACGUGCCAGCAGCCGCGGUAAUACGUAGGGAGCAAGCGUUAUCCGGAAUUACUGGGUGUAAAGGGAGUGUAGGCGGGACUGUAAGUCAGAUGUGAAAUAUACCGGCUCAACUGGUAGACUGCAUUUGAAACUGCGGUUCUUGAGUGAAGUAGAGGUAAGCGGAAUUCCUAGUGUAGCGGUGAAACGCGUAGAUAUUAGGAGGAACAUCAGUGGCGAAGGCGGCUUACUGGGCUUUAACUGACGCUGAGGCUCGAAAGCGUGGGGAGCAAACAGGAUUAGAUACCCUGGUA
rnacentral:rRNA from 1 species